CAGGCCUAAAGUUCAAAGACAGGAAGAUGGUGGGAGAGAGGGGAUAGGGCAAAGAAAGAUAAUGAGCAUCUUCAAGGGCCUCUACUCAGAGUUCCUGACCUUUCUGAUCCUUGUCUUUUUCCACCUUCCACCCCGACUCCACCAGCCUUAGCUCCCAACUCUGGUUCUUGUUCUUAGGUCUGCUUUUAUAGGUUUUAAGGAACAUUCUAGCAGGCUUUUAAUGUAGAGAUCAAAAAUUUUCAGGGUGUUGAAUGAACUUUUUCAGCUGUAAGACAAUGGAGUCCCAUGAUAACUUCUGAAACCCAGUUCCGCUAUACAUUGCAACUGUCUAAAAAGUCACAUAUGCCACAGACUGAAAGUGGAAUUCUCCUGGAAACUGAUUUCCUAGCGUUUGUGUCUCCAAGGAAGCUCAGAUAUUACAGGGUGACUCAGGUGACCCAGAUUCUGGGAGAGGAUCCCAGUUACCAUUGAUAGAGGGUUUAUAUUCCAGACUUGAAUAUAUAAAAUCAAGGUGAAUUUUUCAAAAUUUAUCUGAAAAGAACAUGUCAUUAUGGAAGUUAUUCAGUGGCAAAGCAUGUCUCUUUCCUAAGAAACAUUCUCUAAAGUACUUUCCAAUAUCAAUAUAAAACUAUGCCUAUGUAUUUAUGUAAGAAAGUACUUGAAGCUAGGGGGAGGUGGUAGAAAUCACUUAGUAGCACAUCAUCUGUUGUCAUUAAAGACAUUUUCUAAGUGACUUUCUAAUAUAACAGUGCCUAAGCCUUCUUGUGGUUUAUCUUGCGAUUUUUCCUCUUCCUAAUGAGCCUCUUUCUCACCUUGGAUAAGAAGUAACCAAGACUAUAAACCAGCUUUGGGAUGUUUAAUGUCUAGUGAUUUCUAAUCUAAAAGCUUCACAUUUGGUCAUUUUUACAAGAAAAAUAUUUUUAGGUUACAUAUGAACCUUGUUCAUAAUUAUAAAAAAUAAAAUGUAAUUGUAAAAAAUUUCUUAGUUUAUACCUUUGAAAGUUUUCCUAACAGCAAAUGGUUUUCCCCUGGCAGGAAGAUAGCCCAGUUUAUUCAACUAGAAAUAAACUUCCAGCUUCAGUCAGCUCAGCUCAAUGAAUGGCGUUAAGCACUGCCAACAAAUUCUGUACUUUCCUUCUUGACCUUAUUAAGUCCAUGACCCUUCUUCUCUGAAACUUGACUUCAGAAACGUCCCUGACUUGGAACUUGGCCCCACUAAAAAACAAAAAGCGUAAUCUUUAUUUUCUCUGUAUUGUAUGGGCUUAUUUCUCAGCUAGACCACAUGUCCUGCUUUAUCAGUCAAGAUCCAUGCCUCCUUCUUCUUUGUGUCUUUUAUGGUUCCUGGGGCUCACCCACAAUGCUAAUAAAUACAGGUGACUGCUGGUAGAAGACCAACACUGUGUGUAGACUCUUGCUUUUUUUUUUUUUUUUUUAAAUCAAAGAGCCCAAGGCUUCCAGUCCUCAGCCAUUCACUUUAAAUAGGACCACUACCCACAGGCCUGAAGAGUGGCCUCCAGUUCCCAAGUGAGGGCCCUGCUUGGGUUGACAGCUAAAGGAAACACAGUUUUGCUUGAGGAUUCAAACUUAGAUUUCUGCCCUAGUCCUCUGCCCACUGAUGUGGAGAGAACUAUGGUUCUUACAAGUCAGGUUUAAAGGGUCCAUAUAUUUCUUGUUCACUUUGUCAGAAAGCCUGAAGUGAAGCCUCUAUUUUGUCUCCUUGCCUGAGAUGAUAUCUUUACAAACAGCUAAUUUGAGACUUUCUCCCUCAAAGCAUUCUCUCCGUACAUAAGUAUCAGCCUAAGACACGUGUUUAGAAAGGUAAGUCAACUUCUCAUCUUCCUGGCAUGUUCUACUCUUAAGAAAAUUCAGUAAUAAAAAAUACACUUGCCCAGGGAGAAGCUGGAAGUAUGUAUAUACAAUUCCUUACUUUAGAGAAGGAAUAAAUAAAAGUCAUUUCCUACAGCAACUAAAAUAUGGACACCACUUUUUCUGGUGGUGUAACUAUGAAAAAGCAAAUUCUUCUUAUCUCAAUGGAAACUACAUUUGUAAUAGAUGAUUUUUUUAAAAAUUUCAAUAUUUAUUCUUCAGUUUUCGGUGGACACAACAUCUUUGUUUGUAUGUGGUGCUGAGGAUCGAACCCGGGCCGCACGCAUGCCAGGCGAGCGCGCUACCGCUUGAGCCACAUCCCCAGCCCAAUAGAUGAUUUUUUAACUGAAGUUUUCAAUGAUCUGUGUGUGGCAGCCUUAGUUGCCCCUCCAUAUUAACUCUCCCCUUUGUGAGAAAUCCCCGCCCCCAACUUUUAGCUGAGCACCUGGCUGCCUAGAAUACAAACUACAUCCCCUAGUCUUCCUGUAGCCAGCCUGAGUUUGGCUGACACACGGCCAAUGAGAUGGAAGUGGAAGUGUGUGGCAGUCGGCUACCAGGUCUCCUCUUAGACAACUGGCAUGUGCCUUUCAUCUUUUUAUUUCCCUCUAACUUCCUGCUGAGGACAAUGUGGAAGUGAUGUGGAGCUUGAACCUCAAGUUGGUCACUAAAGAAGUCAGAGCAGUAAGAAGCCCCAUACCACUUCUGUUGAGCUGCUUUCAUGUAAUAGGGAAUCUUGUAAGUCACCAUCUCCAACCCCACAUUAUCCACAGCUAAACCUGAUCCUUGUGGAUACCAGUUCCCUCCAUUAACUCAAAAUUGCUAAUUCACACCCAAUGCUGGUAACAAUGGGUGUUGAGUCAGCCUGAGGAAGGUUCGUGUGUGGAGUUAGAACUUGUUCCUAGCAAGUUAUAAUUCCACUCAUGAGAAAUAGUGGUACCUAAGUGAAGUCAGGAGACACACUCCCUUCUCAGGGUCAGUUGUCUUCCCUGUAACCCUGCUAAACAAUGUAGGACCUAAGUCAUGGUGGCUCCUUGGGUCUCCUGUUGUCCCUGGAAAGUAAGCAGUUCCUGUGCUUAACAAGAGAAUCCCUUGCUCCAGAGUCCUUGUCCAACCUACCACUGAUGAAAGCUGGGCCUCAAGCAGGGUAAGCAUGUGCUCCCUACCAGUCAGCUACAGCCCCAGCCCUAGAACCUUUCAGGUACAUUCUUUAUUUUUGAGGUACUGGGAAUUAAACCAGGGUCGUACAGAUACUAGGCAAGCAUUCUAUCACUGGACUACAGCCUCAUUCCUUUUCAUUUUGUUUUGAGACAGGGUCUGAGUUGUCUAGGCUGCCUCCAAGUUGGUGAUCCACCUGCCUCAGCCUCCCAGAUAAUCAGGAUUUCCGGUGUGUGUCACUAUGCCCAGCUCAAGUGCACACUUUCUUCCUGGCCUGGCAUCAUCCUCAAUACCAAGAUGCACCUCUCAUUCUGAAGCUAAAUAAGUUGCCCUUCAUGUAUGAAAAUACUGCCAGUAAGAUGCUAGCUUAAUAUUUUCCAGAUUCAUCUGUUCAAGAAUCCUGCUGAUUCACGAUCCUUGUGCCUUGAAAACUGAAGGAUCAAGAGCAGGGUCCAAGUAAAUUCAUCUAAUCCCAGCUCCAGGAACCCUGACCCUGUGUGACCCUGCAGAGCUCACAGAGGUUCUUGGCUCACUCUGCCUGACCUGAUCUGUCCUGAUAAGGCCCACCGCUCCAUCUUGGUUUCUUCAAGUGUCCCUAGGGACCCCGGGUCAUAUGAAAUCCUAUGAGGAGCUAAUGGGUAAGUCAUUUGAGUAGAGACUGCUCUGUUCACAUAAUCUGGGAAGUUUGCUUUUCCUCCAUAGUCGUCGUCUUUUUUUUUUUUUUUUUUUUAACUCUGUUCUAAGGAAGUGUUCUUUCUAUCCUGGGAAUGUUUUCUUGUCUGGGAUCUGAGGAGAAUGACUGCACCGAAGGAUCCUAUUCAAAAUAUCUUCAGUGUGGGCUGGGGUUGUGGCUCAGUGGUAGAGCGCUUGCCUGGCACGUGUGAGGCCCUGGGUUCGAUCCUCAGCACCACGUAAAAAUAAUUAAAAUAAAGGUAUUGUGUCCAACUACAACUAAAAAAUAAAUAUUUAAAAAAAUAUCUUCAAUCAGAAUCAAACUCAUUCUCUGUGACUUCAUAAAUAGCCUCUGUCCUCAUUCACCCUGAAGCCUAGAGAUGUGUAAUCCUCUCUGAAAGAAUGAAGCAGGAUUUGCAUUGUCCAACUGUGACCCUGUGACCAAGGGACCUUAUCUUGAGGUGAGGCUUAGUAACUCUGGGACCCAGAGGGUCUCCAGUCGGGUGAGCAGAGCCCACUAGAGCCACAGAUGCCAGGCAGGAUGAUGAAAGAGGGAAAUCAAAAAGGAAGAAACAAAAAUAAAAGAAGAAACAUGAACAGGGGAGAGACAGAAGGUGGGGAAAGGAGCCAUAUGGAGAGAGAGAACAAAGAGGUUCUCUUGGGUCCUUAUGGACACUGGCCCCAAUGAAGAAGACUCUCCCUUGUGGUCACUCCAAUGGGAGGUGCUCCCUACUGCCCACAUAGCCAGCCAAGUCAGAAAACUCCCAUCAGCUCCCUCUUACACUCCCAGGCCCAGGUCCCUGGUAGCAAGCUGAGAGUUGUGACCUAUCGGAGAUGGGAAGGACCUCGGGGAACAUGCACGCAAGCUCAUUGGGGGCUCUACUGACACGUGCAGUGAAAGCUUGCUUAUGGGGCAUGGUGGUCCUGGGCCUGGCAGAGCUUUAACCAUCCCUGGUCCCCCAGACCUAAUGGGAGUGUCCUUGCUUACCACCAGAGAGGCAAGAUCUCCCACUGCUCAUCUAACCCUGCUCUUUGCAAGCUGGCCCCAGUUAAAUCGCCACUGUGAUUGUCCCUCUGUGAAGAGCUAUGAGGGCACUGAGGCCCAGAGCUGGGGAGGAGCUGGGUUAGGUUCACAGAGGGCCUUUGAUACAUGAACCUCAAACUCCAUCACCCUUUCUCUCUAAGAACCAUGGGGGAAACUGACCUUUCUCUGUAGAAGAUACUUUACACACUCCUGGGGCAGCAGAGUAGGAGAAAAGAUGCAUGGGUGGAGGGGCUUCCCCGUCUCCCCCUGGAAACUGUCUCAGCUGAUGCUCAUACAGUCAUCUCCACUUACCCACCCACUCAGCUGUGUCAGCCCAGUGACACGGAUCCUCCUUUUUAAAGGGAUUAUUCAGACAAGUGCAAAAAUAGAGUGGAAUUCAGUAGCUUCAGCUGUAGGGAGGAAAUGGCUGGGGAUAUAAAGCCACUAAAAUUAUCCCUUCAUAGACAGGGGCUGGGACCCCACAGCUGAUGGGCCUCUUGCCUGUUAAGUUCAUUUCCAUCCUUAGGGUCACUCCCACGCUGCCCUUAGGUACCCAACACAUUUAAAGCUGACUUGCUGGCAUUAUGUAAUGCUGAAAUAACAGCACAGUAAGGUCACCAAACUCUGUGGUGCUCACUGUCCCACGGCAGGAUUCCUGGAGUUUAUUAACUCAUAGUCAUACUUGUCUCUUUCUUCCUUGCCAAAAGCAAAACCUGCUUGGUAAAGGCCAUGGGCAG